rnacentral:rRNA from 1 species
UGGGGAAUUUUGCGCAAUGGGGGAAACCCUGACGCAGCAACGCCGCGUGGAGGAUGAAGUCUCUUGGGACGUAAACUCCUUUCGAUAGGGAAGAUAAUGACGGUACCUAUAGAAGAAGCCCCGGCUAACUUCGUGCCAGCAGCCGCGGUAAUACGAGGGGGGCAAGCGUUGUUCGGAAUUAUUGGGCGUAAAGGGUGCGUAGGCGGUUUGACAAGUCUCAUGUGAAAUCUUCGGGCUCAACUCGAAGUCUGCAUGGGAAACUGUCGGGCUUGAGUAUGGGAGAGGUGAGUGGAAUUUCCGGUGUAGCGGUGAAAUGCGUAGAUAUCGGAAGGAACACCUGUGGCGAAAGCGGCUCACUGGACCAUAACUGACGCUGAGGCACGAAAGCUAGGGGAGCAAAC